GUCAGUUUGGCCGAGUGGUUAAGGCGGUGCCCUGCUAAGGCAUUGCACUUUGUGCGCGCAGGUUCGAAUCCUGCAGCUGACG
rnacentral:tRNA from 1 species